rnacentral:miRNA from 1 species
AAGGACAAGGCCACUGACAAG